ACAGGUGAUGAUGUGACAGGCGAUGAUGUGACAGGUGAUGGUGUGACAGGUUAUUAUGUGACGUGAUGGUGUGACAGGUGAUGAUGUGACAGGCGAUGAUGUGACAGGUGAUGGUGUGACAGGUUAUUAUGUGACGUGAUGGUGUGACAGGUGAUGAUGUGACAGGCGAUGAUGUGACAGGUGAUGGUGUGACAGGUGUUGAUGUGACAG